UCGCCAUCAGCUGAUUGAUUGAC
rnacentral:siRNA from 1 species